CAUUAGAUAACUAAAUUUAAGUAAUGGUCUCUUAAACCGUCAAUAGUAAUUAUUUACUUCUAGUGA
rnacentral:tRNA from 1 species